UUUUUUUCCGUUUCCUCCUCUCGUCGACGGCAGGCUCUAGAAGCAGAAGCAGCUCCUCUGUUUCCGGCGUGGCAAGGCAGAUUCGGCGGCGGCGGUUGUCCUUCCGGUAGGGCAGUGGUGGCCAGCGUUUCGUUCGGUGGAACUCCGGUGACCAUAGCGUGGAGGUGUGGUGGUUGGCAGUGUGUUAUUUGGUAGAAACUGGAUGAGGCUGAACCCUAAGGACAAUAUACAAGUGAUCAACUUUUCAGAGUAGAGUUACCUCCCCACAAACAAGUUGAUUGAGGCUAGCAGUGGUCAAGAUGAUGAUGAGGAAAAGAGAAGAAAUACAGUUCACCAAGCAGCCUUACAUUGAAGAUGUGGGCCCUCGGAAAAUAAAAAGUAUUCAGUUUUCAACUUUCUCUGGUUCUGAAGUAAUGAAAUCAGCUGAAGUUGAAGUCUAUCGUGGAGUUUACUACGAUGCUUCCAAGAAUCCUAUUCCCAACGGCCUAUUAGACCCUCGCAUGGGUCCUCCAAAUAAGACCAAAUCUUGUGCCACAUGCGAUGGAGAUUUCAAACAAUGUCCUGGUCACUAUGGAUACUUGAAUCUUGCUUUACCAGUUUUUAAUGUUGGAUAUCUACCCAUCAUUGUGGACAUCUUGAAAUGCAUUUGCAAGGGUUGUUCCCGCAUUCUUCUUGGUGAAAAAGAACGUCUAGACUUCCUAAGAAAGAUGAGAAAUACAAAGUUGGAGCAUUUGAAAAAGAAUGAGUUGCUCAAAAGAGUUGUGAAAAGGUGCACUGCCAUGACAAGUGGUCGCAAGGCAGUGAUUUGUUCCAGAUGUGGAUGCGUAAAUGGAAUGGUGAAAAAGGGCCCUUUGAAGAUCAUCCAUGAAUAUGGAAGUCAGUUUUUAGAUGAGUGCCAUAAUGCUGUUUCUAACAAAAUCAAGGGAUCUAUUACUGUGCCUCCAGAACUCGACUCGAAGACAGUUCACGCCCUCUUCAAGAAAAUGAUAGAUGAGGACUGUGAGUUGCUUUAUCUUAGUGACAAACCAGAAAAACUCCUUGUCACAAGUAUCCCUGUGCCACCAAUAGCAAUACGCCCUUCUGUCUUUGUGGAUGGUGGAAUGCAGAGUAAUGAGAAUGACAUCACAGAGAGGCUGAAGCGCAUUAUCCAAGCAAAUUCAAGUCUUCGACAAGAAAUUUCCGAUACAACUCUUCCAGCUAGAAGUCUGGCUAGUUGGGUUGAUCUCCAAAUGGAAGUUGCACAGUACAUAAAUAGUGAUGUACGUGGAUUGCCACCACAAAUGCAAGCUUCCAGGCCACUGAGUGGCUUUGUUCAGCGCCUCAAAGGAAAGCAAGGUCGUUUCCGUGGAAAUCUGUCAGGCAAGCGUGUUGAAUAUACUGGACGCACUGUUAUUUCACCCGAUCCAAAUCUUAAAAUCACUGAGGUAGCAAUUCCUAUCUUAAUGGCUCGAAUUUUAACAUUUCCUGAGCGUGUUUCACGACACAACAUAGAGAAGUUGAGGCAAUGUGUUCGCAAUGGGCCCAACAAAUACCCUGGUGCGAAGUAUAUCAGGCAUCCUGAUGGUACCGAGAUUUCGUUAAUGUACUCUAGUAGAAAGCGUCAUGCUGAUGAAUUGAAAUAUGGCUACAUAGUUGAUCGUCAUUUGGAAGAUGGAGAUGCUGUUCUAUUUAAUAGACAACCAAGUUUACAUCGAAUGUCUAUCAUGUGCCAUCGGGCAAGGAUUAUGCCAUGGCGCACAUUGAGAUUUAAUGAAUCUGUUUGCAAUCCCUACAACGCUGAUUUUGAUGGUGAUGAGAUGAAUAUGCAUGUACCACAAACAGUAGAGGCUCGCACAGAGGCUCUUUUGUUGAUGGGGGUCCAAAACAAUUUAUGCACCCCAAAGAGUGGGGAAAUCUUGGUUGCUUCUACACAGGAUUUUCUAACAUCUUCCUUUCUCAUUACAAGGAAGGACACAUUUUACGAUCGUGCUUCGUUUUCACUUAUGUGUUCAUACAUGGGCGAUGCGAUGGAUCACAUUGAUUUGCCAACUCCAGCUUUAAUUAAGCCAGUUGAGCUUUGGACUGGAAAACAAUUAUUUGGUGUGCUUCUACGUCCAUAUAGUAAAAUGAGAGUUUACUUAAACCUUACUCUUAAGGAGAAGAGUUACCCGAGAGAAAAAGGUCUAGAAAAAGGUCUAGAAACAAUGUGCCCAAGUGAUGGGUUUGUUUACUUCCGCAACAGUGAGCUGAUAAGUGGGCAACUUGGAAAGGCCACACUAGGAAAUGGAAACAAGGAUGGACUUUAUUCUGUGCUGCUAAGGGACUAUAACACACAUGGUGCUGCAAUAUGUAUGAAUCGGCUUGCAAAGUUGAGUGCUCGUUGGAUAGGGAAUCAUGGAUUUUCAAUUGGCAUCGAUGAUGUCCAACCAGGAAAGGAGUUAGUUGAAAAGAAGACAAUGGAAAUAGAGAAGGGGUAUGGGAUAUGUGAAGCGUAUAUAGCUUCAUUUAACAAGGGGGAACUUGAGGAACAACCUGGCUGUGAUGCUGCACAGACACUUGAAGCCAAUAUAACAAAGGAACUGAAUGCUAUCCGAGUGAAAACUGGGCAAGUGUGCACUAAUACACUACAUUGGAGGAAUAGCCCCUUAAUUAUGUCACAAUGUGGUUCAAAAGGCUCAGAUAUCAAUAUUAGUCAGAUGGUUGCAUGUGUCGGCCAGCAAUCUGUUGGGGGUUGUCGUGCUCCAAAUGGAUUCAUGGACCGGAGUCUUCCUCAUUUUCCUACAAAAUCAAUAUUUCCAGCUGCUAAAGGAUUCGUCGCCAGUUCAUUUUAUGAUGGUUUAAGUGCUACUGAGUUUUUUUUCCACACUAUGGGUGGAAGAGAAGGCCUUGUAGACACAGCGGUUAAAACUGCUGACACAGGGUAUAUGUCUCGGCGGCUUAUGAAGGCUCUGGAGGAUCUUUCAAUUUUGUACGACAGAACCGUGCGAAAUGCAAGUUCAUGCAUAGUGCAAUUUGAGUAUGGUGAUGAUGGUAUGGACCCUGCACAGAUGGAAGAGAAAGAAGGGCAUCCUCUGAACUUUAAUAGAUUAUUUAUGAAAGUUAAGGCAACAUGUCCUCCCGGAGAGGAAAAGAGUCUGUCAUCAUCAGAAAUCCAACAGAUGGUGCAUAAAAGGCUUUCAGAACAUGAUACGACUCCAGAUGGGGGGUGCUCAGCGGCCUUCUGCAAUUCAUUAAAAGAAUUCAUUGAAAACAACUGUGUAGCAAGCUUAGAGAAAACACGGAAAGAUCUCAAACUUGAUGGGGAACAUAAUGCAGGGGAGGAUCUUGAUGCUCUUGAAAGUAUCACUUUAAAUAUAUCAGGUGUAACAAGAAAGCAACUACAGGUUUUCCUAGAGACCUGCAUCUCUCGUUAUCAUGCAAAGAAAUUAGAAGACGGGACUUCAAUCGGUGCAAUAGGAGCUCAGAGUAUUGGAGAACCAGGGACGCAGAUGACAUUAAAAACUUUCCACUUUGCUGGUGUUGCAAGCAUGAAUGUUACACUCGGUGUUCCUCGCAUAAAAGAAAUUAUAAAUGCAGCCAAAAGGAUCAGCACACCUAUUAUUGAAGCAAAACUUUCAUGUGAUGAUGAUCUAGAUUUUGCUAAAAUAGUGAAGUGUCGUAUUGAAAAUACUCUUCUUGGUCAGGUUGCCAAGAGUAUUAAGAUAGUGAUGGCUGCGAGAGUAGCAUCCAUAGUUAUAGUUCUUGAUUUGGAAGCAAUUCAAACUUCAUUUCUUUCCAUAGAUGCUUAUAUUGUUAAGGAAUCAAUUUUGCAGACUAAAAAUAUUAAGUUGAAGGAACAGCACAUCAAGGUUUUAGAUCCUAAAAAGCUGGAAGUUAUCCCUCAUGCUGAUCGAAGUAAACUUCAUUUUGAACUCCACCGUCUCAAAAAUAAGCUUCCUGGGGUUGUUGUGAAGGGUAUCAACACUGUUGGACGUGCUGUGAUCAACAAAGCCGAAAAGGAAAAGGAAAUGGAAACGGAAAAGGAAAAGUACAACUUGCUUGUGGAAGGGACUGGUCUUCUAGCUGUUAUGGGCACAGAAGGAGUUGUUGGACGUCAUACAAAAACCAAUCACAUCAUGGAAGUGAAUCAAGUACUUGGAAUUGAAGCCGCAAGAAGGCGUAUAAUUGAACAGAUUAAGGAUAUCAUGUCAGACUAUAAGAUGACUAUAGAUUUACGUCACAUGAUGCUUCUAGCAGAUCUAAUGACUUUUAAGGGUGAAGUAUUAGGAAUUACUAGAUUUGGUAUGCAGAAGAUGAAAGACAGUGUAUUGACAUUAGCCUCCUUUGAGAAGACUGCUGAUCACCUUUUCAAUGCUUCUGUAAGUGGGCGGGAUGACAAAAUUGAAGGAGUCGGUGAAUGCAUCAUUAUGGGCAUACCAAUGGACAUGGGCACAGGGAUGUUUAAAGUUAUGCAAAGCAACACUUCUCAUCCAGUUGAGCUGAAUUAUGGAAAAGAAUCAAUUAUCCCCAGAGACUGACUAGGUACCAAUUUUCACCAUGAUUUAACUCUUCAAUAGGUCGUCGGUCUUCAAAAUGACAAAGGAAGGGUUUAUGUUUGUGGAAAGAUAUCAACAGAGAAAGAGAAUGGAUGUGAGGCAGUAAAGUGCUCAGGCUCAUCAGGAUGGUACAUCAACGAAAAAAUAUAGCCGAACACUGCUCUCUUCUGCUCGCUAUGUGGAUAACAUUAAAAAAGGGAUAGGCGAAGGUUGGCUCCCAAUUUUGCAUCCAAAAUGUUGCUUAGUUUUAGUGCAUAGCCUAACCAUUUUAACUUGCACAUAACCAUUUUGCAUAGAGUAGUUUGGUACAGUUGAAAAAAUAGUGGAGCAAGGGCACUUAUCUUUUGUUCAAAGUUAAUUUGAACCAAAUGAAUUAUUUGUGUUAAGAAUGAGUAUACCAUAAAUAAAGUGAAGAGUAGUAUGAAAUACAAAAUAGAUUUAAAAUAAUAGAGAGAGAUUAGAAGGUGGUUUUGGGUUCAGAGAAAUUGAAAACCAACAUAAAUAAAUGAAGAUUGUGUUUGAGUUGGAAAGGGUAAAAAAGAGCCAAAUGGAGGGGA